GACGAACGCUGGCGGCGUGCUUAACACAUGCAAGUCGAACGGAAAGGCCCUGCUUUUGUGGGGUGCUCGAGUGGCGAACGGGUGAGUAACACUUGAGUAACCUGCCCUUGACUUUGGGAUAACUUCAGGAAACUGGGGCUAAUACCGGAUAGGAGCUCCUGCUGCAUGGUGGGGGUUGGAAAGUUUCGGCGGUUGGGGAUGGACUCGCGGCUUAUCAGCUUGUUGGUGGGGUAGUGGCUUACCAAGGCUUUGACGGGUAGCCGGCCUGAGAGGGUGACCGGCCACAAUGGGAAUGAGAUACGGCCCAGACUGCAACGGGAGGCAGCAGUGGGGAAUAUUGCACAAUGGGCGGAAGCCUGAUGCAGCAACGCCGAGUGCGGGAUGACGGCCUUCGGGUUGUAAACCGCUUUAGCCUGUGACGAAGCGUGAGUGACGGUAAUGGGUAAAGAAGCACCGGCUAACUACGUG
rnacentral:rRNA from 1 species